rnacentral:rRNA from 1 species
GAUGAACGCUGGCGGCGUGCCUAACACAUGCAAGUCGAACGGAAAGACCCUGCUUUUGUGGGGUUCUCGAGUGGCGAACGCGGGAGUGACACGUGAGUAACCUGCCCUUGACUUUGGGAUAACUUCACGAAACUGGGGCUAAUAUAGGAUAGGAGAUACUGCACCAUGGUGGGGGUUGGAAAGUUUCGGCGGUUGGGGAUGUACUGGCGGCUUAUGAGCUUGUUGGUGGGGUAGUGGCUGACCAAGGCUUUGAAGGGUAGGCGGCCUGAGAGGGUGACCGGCGACAUUGGGACUGAGGGAGGCAGCAGUCGGCAACGGGAGGCAGUAGUGGGAAGUAUUGCACAAUGGGCGGGCGUCUGUUGCGGCAACGCUGCGUGCGGAAAGACGUCUUUCUGGUUAUAAACCGCUGUCGCCUGUGACGAAGCGUGAUUGACGGUACUGGGUAAAGAAGCACCGGCUAACUACGUG